rnacentral:rRNA from 1 species
AGCGAACGCUGGCGGCAGGCCUAAAACAUGCAAGUCGAACGCCGUAGCAAUACGGAGUGGCAGACGGGUGAGUAACACGUGGGAACGUGCCCUUUGGUCCGGAACAACCCAGGGAAACUUGGGCUAAUACCGGAUAAGCCCUUACGGGGAAAGAUUUAUCGCCAAAGGAUCGGCCCGCGUCUGAUUAGCUAGUUGGUGAGGUAACGGCUCACCAAGGCUACGAUCAGUAGCUGGUCUGAGAGGAUGAUCAGCCACACUGGGACGGAUACACGGCCCAGACUCCUACGGGAGGCAGCAGUUAGGAAUCUUGGACAAUGGGCGCAAGCCUGAUCCAGCCAUGCCGCGUGAGUGAUGAAGGCCUUAGGGUUGUAAAGCUCUUUCAGCGGGGAAGAUAAUGACGGUACCCGCAGAAGAAGCCCCGGCUAACUUCGUGCCAGCCGCCGCCGUAAGAC